rnacentral:rRNA from 1 species
UACGAAGGGGGCUAGCGUUGCUCGGAAUUACUGGGCGUAAAGCGCACGUAGGCGGCUUUCUAAGUCGGGGGUGAAAUCCUGGAGCUCAACUCCAGAACUGCCUUCGAUACUGGAAAGCUCGAGUCCGGGAGAGGUGAGUGGAACUGCGAGUGUAGAGGUGAAAUUCGUAGAUAUUCGCAAGAACACCAGUGGCGAAGGCGGCUCACUGGCCCGGUACUGACGCUGAGGUGCGAAAGCGUGGGGGGCAAACAGG